rnacentral:rRNA from 1 species
GACGAACGCUGGCGGCGUGCUUAACACAUGCAAGUCGAACGGAAAGGCCCUGCUUUUGUGGGGUGCUCGAGUGGCGAACGGGUGAGUAACACGUGAGUAACCUGCCCUUGACUUGGGGAUAACUUCAGGAAACUGGGGCGAAUACCGGAUAGGAGCUCCUGCUGCAUGGUGGGGGUUGGAAAGUUUCGGCGGUUGGGGAUGGACUCGCGGCUUAUCAGCGUGUUGGUGGGGUAGUGGCUUACCAAGGCUUUGACGGGUAGCCGGCCUGAGACGGUGACCGGCCCCAUUGGGCCUGAGAUACGGCCCAGACUGCUACUGGAGGCAGCAGUGGAAAAUAUUGCACAGUGGGCGGCAGCCUGAUGCAGCAACGCCGCGUGCGGAAUGACUGCCUUCGGGUUAUAAACCGCUUUCGCCUGUGACGCACCGUGAGUGACGGUAAUGGGUAAAGAAGCACCGGCUAACUACGUG